rnacentral:rRNA from 1 species
AGCGCAGGCGGACCGGCAAGUUGGAAGUGAAAUCUAUGGGCUCAACCCAUAAACUGCUUUCAAAACUGUUUUUCUUGAGUAGUGCAGAGGUAGGCGGAAUUCCCGGUGUAGCGGUGGAAUGCGUAGAUAUCGGGAGGAACACCAGUGGCGAAGGCGGCCUACUGGGCACCAACUGACGCUGAGGCUCGAAAGUGUGGGUAGCAAACA